AUUGAACGCUGGCGGCAGGCUUAACACAUGCAAGUCGAGCGGGGUGAUGGUGCUUGCACUAUCACCUAGCGGCGGACGGGUGAGUAAUGCUUAGGAAUCUGCCUAUUAGUGGGGGACAACAUUUCGAAAGGAAUGCUAAUACCGCAUACGUCCUACGGGAGAAAGCAGGGGAUCUUCGGACCUUGCGCUAAUAGAUGAGCCUAAGUCGGAUUAGCUAGUUGGUGGGGUAAAGGCCUACCAAGGCGACGAUCUGUAGCGGGUCUGAGAGGAUGAUCCGCCACACUGGGACUGAGACACGGCCCAGACUCCUACGGGAGGCAGCAGUGGGGAAUAUUGGACAAUGGGCGCAAGCCUGAUCCAGCCAUGCAGCGUGUGUGAAGAAGGCCUUAUGGUUGUAAAGCACUUUAAGCGAGGAGGAGGCUACUUUAGAUAAUACCUAGAGAUAGUGGACGUUACUCGCAGAAUAAGCACCGGCUAACUCUGUGCCAGCAGCCGCCGUAAGAC
rnacentral:rRNA from 1 species